AGAAUAUUUAAUAACAUGACAUGAUGACGGAGAUGACAAGACUACAUAAAAUAGAACUAGAAUUUUAGACAGUUUGAUGGAAAACUUCUACAUUAGGAAGUAACAAGGAAUCAAGAUGGUUCAGAAGCUGAAGGGAAUGGGAUGUGGAGAGAGACUUAUUUGUUUCACACUUUUUAUCUGCCUAGCAGUCGC